rnacentral:rRNA from 1 species
AUGGCGGAUGCACCUCUGUACAAGCAGCACCGCAGGUACACUAGGGAGCUCCACGACGUCGACCUCCACGGUAACCACAAGCUCCACGUCGUUUGCAUAAGCAAGGGGCAAGACGUGGACAAGAUGAUGUCCAUGCUCAGGAGGAAGCUCAGUGGAAUGCCCAUCAAACUAGUCGGCGUUGAUGUGCCAAUGGAACUAGACAAAUUCCUCAUGAAUGCUGAGUACACCUUCGUCGGAUUCGCCAUUGAAGUAGACAAAAGCAAGCUGAAGCUAUCUGGCUUGGAGAUCAACUCCGACAACUACAUUGAUAUUCAGGUGGAAUGGAGAGACCCAUACAAUAAAAAGGAGUUUGACUCUUUGGCUGAUGUUGCCGGCAGGAUAAUAGACAUUCACUACCAUGACAUGAAGAAAAAAAAUUAA